GAUGUAGUUCUUAGUGAGGUUGACGCUGAUAAUGUCAAUUUUGUAGCCUGUGUGCUACCUAUGUCU
rnacentral:tRNA from 1 species